UCCAAGAACGGUUGAAGCUUAUUGCA
rnacentral:piRNA from 1 species